UACGUAGGGUGCAGGCGUUAAUCGGAAUUACUGGGCGUAAAGCGUGCGCAGGCGGUUUCUUAAGUCAGAUGUGAAAGCCCCGGGCUUAACCUGGGAACUGCGUUUGAAACUGGGAGACUUGAGUGUGGCAGAGGGGGGUGGAAUUCCACGUGUAGCAGUGAAAUGCGUAGAUAUCGGGAAGAACACCCGUGGCGAAGGCGGUUCUCUGGGACGGUACUGACGCUGAGACGCGAAAGCGUGGGGAGCGAACAGG
rnacentral:rRNA from 1 species